CCCUUAGAUGUUCUGGGCCGCACGCGCGCUACACUGAUGCAUUCAACGAGUCCAACCUUGACCGAGAGGUCCGGGUAAUCUUUGAAACUGCAUCGUGAUGGGGCUAGAUUAUUGCAAUUAUUAAUCUUCAACGAGGAAUGCCUAGUAAGCGUGAUUCAUCAAAUCGCGUUGAUUACGUCCCUGCCCUUUGUACACACCGCCCGUCGCUCCUACCGAUUGAGUGUGUUGGUGAGGAGUUUGGAUUGGCCUCGGAAGGUGGUUCGCCACCGUCCGUAGCUGGGAAGUUCUCCAAACCGCCCCACUUAGAGGAAGGAGAAGUCGUAACA
rnacentral:rRNA from 1 species